rnacentral:lncRNA from 1 species
GUGGGAAGCAGCCAGGUUGGUCCAACUGAGGAGAUGCUUGCAGGUAUCUGCAGGCUGUCAACCUGCAGAGUGGAUCAUCCAAAGGACGUUUCUGCAGGCUCUGAGGUCAAAUGCAGAUCCUCGGGCUCUAUCACUGAGUUCUACUCCAACCCUAUACUUUCUCCAUUAAAUCACUCUAUCUUGCGUGUCACCUCAGAGGCCACCCCUCACCUUAGUAAGCACCAAGACCAUCUACAAACCUUUUCAGGAGGUGAAGGACAACCUGGGUCUUUGGAGAGUCUGACUGAAUGGAUCUCAGGAGCAUCUCACAGAUCAGGCCACCUGCAGGGACCUAGAGGAGGCUUCAAAGCAAGCAAGCAAGCAAGCAAGCAAGCAAGCAAGCAAGCAAGCAAGCAAGCAAGCAAGCAAACAAGCACCUGUGCAGACUUCAACUGUGACUCUCUCUCAUUUUCCCCACCCUAAAAUUCUCAGUAAAUCCACAACUCUUCCAGGGCAGUGAAGAGGGGACACCCUUCUUCCAGUCAUCUGCUGCCUCCAGCGAGGAAAAAGAAAAUGUGUUUUCUGAAGCAGCGAGCAACCAACCAUCACAGACAUCUGGCAGCUUCUUUCAGCCACUCUCGUUUUCGGGCCAGCGUGUCGAGGCAGCUGUGCACAAGGUUGUGUGCUCUUCCAGGAGGCAGGAAGCUAGGAGUGUCCUCCCUUGGGGGCUGCAGUUUGCGUUUCACAGACGCAAAUGCUCGCAGACUGGGACAUAGUGACUGGAAGUGUGCACUGAGGGCCAAAUUCCCAAAUAUUCCAGGGCUGUGGAGCAGAGGAAAUGAGAACAGCAUGUGCAUCUAAGCCUGCUCCUCCUUCUGGGAGACAGAGAUGGGCAGACAUCAUGGAUGGAUUCUCAGGGAAAUCAGCCCUCUGUCCGUUCAUACAGAGACACUGUGAGGUUCAAACAAGCAGCCAGGGCAGGGCCACUCACUGACAGGAAAACACAAGCUCUUGUUAAUAUUUCUUGCCUUCUUUCCAACUGUAAAAAAUACUGUGUGCUUAUUUUUAAGCAGUUGGAAGGAAAGGGCAAGCAGAAGCUACUUCUCAGGGACAAUAGAUAUCAGUCUUUUAGAUUGCUGCCUCUCUAGCUCCAUCUUCCCUAGUCAACUUCGAUGCUCAGGGACCUUCUGUGGUCCGCUGUUGGUCAUCAGGUCCUCAUUUGGUAUGUCUUAAAAUUUUCUCUGAAUUGUUAAAUCUUUGAGCAUUGGUGUUUUUAGCUUUUUUUGGUUUUAGCUGCAGUGGAAAGAGACUUGUGAAACAUCUGACACUGAGUGUGUCUCCUUGUAGAUGAUUGCUGCUCUUCUAAGUCACUUUAACUAGAAAUCCCCAUUUAACCCCACUGUCCCAGCUUCAUUUCUGCUUUUGUGAUAAAAAUGUCCCAACAAAAAGCAGCUUGUGAGAGGGAGGAAUUUAUUUCAGUUCACAGUUGCAGGCCACAUACAGUUCACCGUGGUGGGGAAAUCACAAAGAUGGGAGCCUGAGACACCUGGUCAUGUGAUAUCCACAGUUAGGAGCACAGAAAAUGCAUCCAUGCAUGCUCUCUCGAUUGUUUGCCUGUGCUCCGGGCAAUUUCUCCACUCUUAGAUUGUUCAGAAUCUCUGCCUAGGGAAUAGUGCUACCUGCAGUGGACUGGGCCUUCCUAAAGUCAUUAAGUUAAGAUAAUCCAGCCUCCACCCCCAAAAUGCCCACAGACCAACAACAAUCUCUCGUUCAUACUCUCCUCCGAGAUGGCUAGUCUUAACAAUUAAAGGUAACUAUCAUUGCAGCAAUUCAUCCAACAGGCCGUAGUGUUAAUUGCCAAUUAGAACCUGGUACCUUAGCAGCCAUAGCUGAGGUAUACCUCAAGGGGGACCUGCCCUUGGAUUAGAAACCAUCUCAUGCUCACGUGGAUGCCCCAAGACCUAGUUAACUCCCUACAAGGGCUGAGGACUCGCUAAUCCAUGCCUGCCUCUGAUUGUAGUUGCUUCUUGUGAUGCAUUUUAAUAGCAGAAGCUGAGAAUUCUGGGAAUUGGAGAGUGUGGCUGGGAGCCCACAGCAUUCCUUUUAAACAUGUCUACAUAUUAACCAACCCAUGGAUCAAAAUAAUGAAAGAGGGGCGUAGCUGCUGUACGAGGGCAGAUGUUCAAAUCUCAUUCUUCUCUUGAGCACAGAGUACUUGGUAACCGCUGGGAUAGCAUUUGCACAAGGCAGUACUCUGCAUCAUCUAGAGAUCACUUAAAGUGUGUGCAUGUGUGUGUAGCAUAGCCAUAAGUACUACGCACUUCCGAUAUAGGGACUUGAGGGUCUGGGUCUGGGUAUUCCCAGGGAAGGGCGAAGUGUCCUGGCAUCAGUCUCCUGCAGGUCCUACAGGGUAGGAAUCAUUUGCUGCUUUGAUCUAUGCUCCUGUCCUGUCAGCAGCAGCCCCUUCUACCUCUUCCUGCUUGGUGUGUGCUUGUGUUUGUCCCUGCUACUGUCUCUCCACAGCAAUCUUUUCUCCGCCAGGAUCACCGUCCUUACUGAUGCCCUGUCACCCCUCCUGUCCUCCCUCCUUCUUCAGAGGAGUCUAUUUGCUCUCCAGGUGUCAGCAUAAGCAAGGGUAAAAUAAAAACAAUCGAACGCUUGUAACUGAGCCUUGGACCGGCAGCAGAGAGACCAGGCCCUCACGGUGCAGCAAACCCGUCAGACAGAAAAAGGAAACUGUUUCUCAUUUAUUAAUGCUAUGAGCACUGGUCUGAGGUGUGAAGUAGAGAUUAAAUACUUCUGGGGAGCAGGCUGUCCUUUCUCUAGGGAAGUCUUCUCAGAAAGGGACACAGUAGAUGUACAAAGAAUUAGUUCCAAGUGUCCUGCAGAGAAGUAGCUGGGAUUGCUAACACUCUGUGAGGAGGAAGAGGGCAUUUCAUGAAGGGAGAAGGG